GACGAACGCUGGCGGCGUGCCUAAUACAUGCAAGUUGAGCGCUGAAGGUUGGUACUUGUACCAACUGGAUGAGCAGCGAACGGGUGAGUAACGCGUGGGGAAUCUGCCUUUGAGCGGGGGACAACAUUUGGAAACGAAUGCUAAUACCGCAUAAAAACUUUAAACACAAGUUUUAAGUUUGAAAGAUGCAAUUGCAUCACUCAAAGAUGAUCCCGCGUUGUAUUAGCUAGUUGGUGAGGUAAAGGCUCACCAAGGCGAUGAUACAUAGCCGACCUGAGAGGGUGAUCGGCCCCAUUGGGCCUGGGACACGGCCCAAACUCCUACGGGGGGCAGCAGUAGGGAAUCUUCGGCAAUGGACGAAAGUCUGACCGAGCAACGCCGCGUGAGUGAAGAAGGUUUUCGGAUCGUAAAACUCUGUUGGUAGAGAAGAACGUUGGUGAGAGUGGAAAGCUCAUCAAGUGACGGUAACUACCCAGAAAGGGACGGCUAACUACGUG
rnacentral:rRNA from 1 species